AUUGAACGCUGGCGGCAUGCCUUACACAUGCAAGUCGAACGGUAACGCGGGGCAACCUGGCGACGAGUGGCGAACGGGUGAGUAAUGCAUCGGAACGUGCCCAGAAGUGGGGGAUAGCCCGGCGAAAGCCGGAUUAAUACCGCAUGAGACCUGAGGGUGAAAGCGGGGGAUCGCAAGACCUCGCGCUUUUGGAGCGGCCGAUGUCAGAUUAGCUAGUGGGUGGGGUAAAGGCCUACCAAGGCGACGAGCUGUAGCUGGUCGGAGAGGAUGACCAGCCAAACGGGAAAGGAGACACGGGCCAGACGCCGACGGGAGGCAGCAGGGGGGAAGAUUGGACAAUGGGGGCAAGCAGGACACAGCCAGACGGCGUGGGUGAAGAAGGCCUGGGGGUUGGAAAGGCAUUUGUUGGGAAAGAAAAGCAGCAGGUUAAUACCCCGGUGUUCUGACGGUACCAAAAGAAUAAGCACCGGCUAACUUCGUG
rnacentral:rRNA from 1 species